GACGUCAUAAGAAGUUGCGAACCGGAACCAGAGAGCCUUUAGGAAGGAGCCGAGGGUCUACGAGGAGAAAUCGGGGACGACCUUUAUUUAGCCUGAUUAGCCUGGGCUAAAGCAUCUAAAGACCCUAGGAUUGCUGUAGGUCAACAGUCCCCACUGGAGAAAAAAAUUUUGAAUCUAGGUGGCUUGCAUACAACAGCAGCAAGAAGACUGAUAAUUCAGAAAUACCAAGAAGAGUAUGAAAUGCUUUAUAAGGAGCAGGCUGUCUCUCUUGACUACUGGCUUGCCAAAGCAGAGUCUUACUAUAAUAAAAGAGUAGUGGAGAUGAUGAAAGAACAACAGACAGACAGUGAAACCGAGGAGAAGACAACCCAAAGCAUCAUAGAGGGACAAAAACGGUGCUAUUUUGUACCUGAGAGAGAGCUGAAACACAUAGAGAGGCACAUACAUCGAACAGGAGGGGCCAGAGAACUUAGGAAUAAAACCUUAAGACAACUGCUUCGACCCAUCAGUGAAACAACACUCCCGAAGAUUGUGCUGGAAGAGCAUGGCAUGCAGAACCCACAGAGAAGAAAGCAGCUACAUGAGAGGGAGCAGAUACAAAUUAAAGAUCACCAGGAACGCAUGAUUCGAGGGAGAGAACUUGUAGAGCAAAGACUCAAGGAAAGGCUCUUGAAAAUAAACCAGAGCCAGUCACCUACACAUGAGAAGCACGGGAAAGUAAAGAAAGAGAUAAAAGAGUUUGAAAGGGUUACUGCAUAUCCUCUUUUCCAGCCCUGCCAUGCAAAUCUGAUUAAAGUAAAUAUUCUUAUGGAAAAGUCUCAGGAUAGAAAGGAAGAGAAUACAGUUAUAAAACCACAUAAAAGAAAGUUCUUAACUAUGCCACCCUUUUUGAGAAGUCAAAUAGGAAAAAUAAAAGAACGGUAAAGUUUCAGUGGUUUUUGUGAUAAAA